rnacentral:rRNA from 1 species
UACGUAGGGCGCGAGCGUUGUCCGGAAUUAUUGGGCGUAAAGGGCUCGUAGGCGGUUUGUCACGUCGGGAGUGAAAACUCGGGGCUUAACCCCGAGCCUGCUUCCGAUACGGGCAGACUAGAGGUAUGCAGGGGAGAACGGAAUUCCUGGUGUAGCGGUGAAAUGCGCAGAUAUCAGGAGGAACACCGGUGGCGAAGGCGGUUCUCUGGGCAUUACCUAACGCUGAGGAGCGAAAGUGUGGGGAGCGAACAGG